rnacentral:lncRNA from 1 species
CCGCUCCUUGCACCGGUGCACAGCUUUCAAAUUUAGAAAAAAUCUACUCUUCCUUCCCUAACUUUGACGAAAAUCCGUUUUCUCUCCUCAACUCUAAAACCGAACAAACUACGUCUCUUAAUUUUUCAAACCAUAUAUUAUUACCUUCCUGCAGCGGUUUUGAAUGCAAUUUUGUUACAGCGAAUGAUAGUUUUGCUAUAGUAACGGUGGUUUUGUAUUUUUCUUUUUUUAUUAUUUUGGCUGAAUCUUUAAAAAAUUAAGUAAAUCACAGAAAAAUCAUAACACAGAGAAGCUCUAAUUUUGUUGGACUCUCCAAAUAAGUAGAUUUACACAGUGAACAUAGUAUGCUUUAAGUUUUUGCUAUAAAGGUUUUGUCUUUUUCUUUUUUAUUUAUUUUGGCUAAAUCUUUGAAAAAUAGUAUAUUAC